UACGGAGGGUGCAAGCGUUGUCCGGAAUCACUGGGCGUAAAGGGCGCGUAGGCGGCCUGAUAAGUAGGGGGUGAAAUCCUGUGGCUUAACCGCAGGGCUGCCUUCUAAACUGUCAGGCUAGAGCACAGUAGAGGCAGGUGGAAUUCCCGGUGUAGCGGUGGAAUGCGUAGAGAUCGGGAAGAACACCUAUUGCGAAGGCAGCUCGCUGGGACGUAACUGACGCUGAGACGCGAAAGCGUGGGGAGCAAACAGG
rnacentral:rRNA from 1 species